rnacentral:rRNA from 1 species
CCCUUAGAUGUUCUGGGCCGCACGCGCGCUACACUGAUGCAUUCAACGAGUCUAAAACCUGCUCUGAUAGGGGUGGGUAAUCUUUUGAAUGUGCAUCGUGAUUGGGAUAGAUGAUUGCAAUUUUUCAUCUUCAACGAGGAAUGCCUAGUAAACGCAAGUCAUCAGCUUGCAUUGAUUACGUCCCUGCCCUUUGUACACACCGCCCGUCGCUCCUACCGAUUGAAUGAUCCGAUGAAUUUCAUGGAUUGAGGAUGCAAGUAGGUUAGCCUAUCUUCAUCUUCGAGAAGUGAAGUAAAUCUUAUCAUUUAGAGGAAGGAGAAGUCGUAACA